rnacentral:rRNA from 1 species
UACGGAGGGGGCUAGCGUUGUUCGGAAUUACUGGGCGUAAAGCGCGCGUAGGCGGACCUGCAAGUCGGGGGUGAAAGCCCGAGGCUCAACCUCGGAACUGCCUUCGAUACUGCGGGUCUCGAGUCCGGGAGAGGUGAGUGGAAUUCCGUAGUGUAGAGGUGAAAUUCGUAGAUAUUAGGAAGAACACCAGUGGCGAAGGCGGCUCACUGG